CGAACUGCGAUAAGUAGUGUGAAUUGCAGAAUUCAGUGAAUCAUCGAAUCUUUGAACGCACAUUGCGCCCCUUGGUAUUCCAUGGGGCAUGCCUGUUCGAGCGUCAUUUGUACCCUCAAGCUCUGCUUGGUGUUGGGUGUUUGUCCCGUCUCCGCGCGUGGACUCGCCCCAAAGUGAUUGGCAGCCGGCGUACUGGUCCCGGAGCGCAGCACAUGUCGCGCAAACGAGUGCCUUGGUACGGCGGCGUCCAUAAGCCCCUCUCUCACGCUCUUGACCUCGGAUCAGGUAGGGAUACCCGCUGAACUUAAGC
rnacentral:misc_RNA from 1 species